GAUACGCUGGACGGUUCACCGGAAAUUUCACCGCUACAGCCCACAAGUAAUAAUCUACUCUCCGACUGGCUUACCUGGCUUUUCCAGAUUGGCCAUACCGCCCUCGUGCCUGGUUUUCCAAGCGACGUCGCCGAGGUGCCCUCUGAUGCUUUAAAUACGGUGUGCUGUGCGGUCUUCUGCUCAUUCGACAGCAGCAGCGGCGGAGUGCACGCAUCCGACUGAAGCCGUUUCUGCAAUGUUUUUGCAGCUGCAUAACGCAAGCAUUUUUACCAAGGAAACCGCUUCAGUGGUACCACGGAGGCCGAAGAAUUCCUUGGUCCCGUCCUUGUGCUUGGUAUCUAAUCCAGGAGAGCUGUCUUUGCGUUGCCAUCGCUUCGCCAAUGACCUGUCUAUAUCCAAGCUUUUUCCCAUCCUAUGAAACAUUCAUCAUAGAUUAGGGCGCCGAUCUUCAUUAUUUAUGGAAAAGCUGCAAGGGCAGCUGACACCCGUUUUGUGGGCCGUGAAGACUGGUGCGCUGCAAAGUAAUAUGGUAAUAAAGCCGAGUUCCAAAUGUU